rnacentral:piRNA from 1 species
AGACAAUAAUCCAGGCUGCCUCUGC